GGUCUUAUAUUCAUAGAUGAUGUUAGAUUGCAAAUCUAAAGGAGUAGAUAAAAGUUUUACUAAGGCUU
rnacentral:tRNA from 1 species